GGGGAUUUAGCUCAGCGGCAUAAGCGCCUGCCUUGCAAGCAGGUUCAAUCCCCG
rfam:Cavia porcellus supercont2_61 genomic scaffold, whole genome shotgun sequence.